rnacentral:rRNA from 1 species
CACGUAGGGUGCGAGCGUUGUCCGGAAUUAUUGGGCGUAAAGAGCUCGUAGGCGGUCCGUCACGUCGGAUGUGAAAUUCCAGGGCUCAACCCUGGACCUGCAUUCGAUACGGGCGGACUAGAGUUCGGUAGGGGAGACUGGAAUUCCUGGUGUAGCGGUGAAAUGCGUAGAGCUCGGGAAGAACAUCGGUGGCGAAAGCGCUCUGCUGGACUGCAACUGACACUCAGGGACGAAAGCUAGGGGAGCGAAUGGG